rnacentral:rRNA from 1 species
GGCAGCAGUGGGGAAUCUUAGACAAUGGGCGCAAGCCUGAUCUAGCCAUGCCGCGUGAGCGAUGAAGGCCUUAGGGUUGUAAAGCUCUUUCAGGGGGGAAGAUAAUGACUGUACCCCCAGAAGAAGCCCCGGCUAACUCCGUGCCAGCAGCCGCGGUAAUACGGAGGGGGCUAGCGUUGUUCGGAAUUACUGGGCGUAAAGCGCACGUAGGCGGAUCAGAAAGUCAGAGGUGAAAUCCCAGGGCUCAACCCUGGAACUGCCUUUGAAACUCCUGAUCUUGAGGUCGAGAGAGGUGAGUGGAAUUCCGAGUGUAGAGGUGAAAUUCGUAGAUAUUCGGAGGAACACCAGUGGCGAAGGCGGCUCACNGGCUCGAUACUGACGC